UACGGAGGGUGCAAGCAUUAAUCGGAUUUAUUGGGCGUAAAGGGCGCGUAGGCGGGAAGGAAAGUUGGAUGUGAAAUCCCGAGGCUCAACCUCGGAACCGCAUCCAAAACUUCCAUUCUGGAGGAUGAGCGGAGAAAAUGGAAUUCCACAUGUAGCGGUGAAAUGCGUAGAUAUGUGGAGGAACACCGGUGGCGAAAGCGAUUUUCUAGCUUAGACCUGACGCUGAG
rnacentral:rRNA from 1 species